UCCCUAGUGGCUCAGAUGGUAAAGAAUCUGCCUGCAAUGCAGGAGACCUUGGUUCGAUCCCUGGGUUGGGAA
rfam:Ovis aries breed Texel chromosome 8, whole genome shotgun sequence.